GGACUACCGGGGUAUCUAAUCCUGUUUGCUCCCCAUGCUUUCGAGUCUCAGCGUCAGUUGUCAGCCAGAAAGCCGCCUUCGCCACUGGUGUUCCUCCCGAUCUCUACGAAUUUCACCUCUACACCGGGAAUUCCGCUUUCCUCUCCGACACUCAAGUCUCCCAGUUUUCCCUGCACUUUGUCGGGCUUAGCCCGCAGAUUUCACAGGAAACUUAGAAAACCGCCUACACUCCCUUUACGCCCAAUAAUUCCGAACAACGCUUGCACCCUCUGUAUUACCGCGGCUGCUGGCAC
rnacentral:rRNA from 1 species